rnacentral:lncRNA from 1 species
UCAUUAAUGCUUAUACUAAACUCAACGAUGAUGCUGGGACCUCCCAAAAUGUGCAGGGAAUGUAUAUGGGUGGUCCUUCGUUCAUUCAUCAGCUCAUCCAUCCAUUCAUUCCUUCAUCAGAGUUGAACACCUGUGUGCCAAGCACUGUGGGAAGUACUUGGGUUUAGUAGUGUAAAGUGCAGACAUAAUGACUGCCUUGCCCGAAGCCCACUGUCCUGGUUGGGAAAUAAGCCAUAAACCAUAUCAUCCACCUUGCUGUUGGAUUACAGUUGUUAGGAGGGAAGAGACUCAGGGUCACAGCAGAGGUGACAGUGAUGAGGGUGGAGGGUUAACCUAGGCUCUUGUCAUGGAUGGUGCCCAGGGUGUUGGGGGUGGGGAUCUUGCUGAGCAGUGACAACUGAGCUGAGAGCCACAGGCUGAAUAGUCAGGUAAAGAGAGGGGGUGUGAACAUUCCAGAAAGGGGACCAGUAGGUUCUUGGAACAGAAAAGAGGCCACGGUGGCUGUGCGUAGUGGGCAACAGGGAAGUGGGGCAAGUGGGCUUGGUAGGUGGGGGGCAGGACCACCCAAUGCCUUGGCUGUUGGGUAAAAGUGAGUUGGGGAGCCCUUGGACUCCUGUCUGCGCUCUUGUAAAAUGUGAAUGCUAACACCCACCUCUCGGGAUCUCCAUCAAGAUAAAAUGGCACCAUUUGUGUAACUUCCUGGGCUGUGGAACACCAUAGGUGCAAAAAUAUCACUAUUUCCCCCCUUCCCUAGCUUCUAGCCUUACGGUUGAUGAAGGAGCCCCAAGUGUGCAGAUGGUGGUUCUGCAUUAGGGAUGGCCACUUGCAAAGUUUCACAUUUAACCCUUAACCUCCUCAAAUUAGGUGGCCCUCCCAGAGAGGCCUGUGGAAGAGGGGUGGGGUGGGGUGCAGCCUGGCUGUUCUCCUCCCUGUUUGCUGGAGGUUAAUAAGGUCAGAGUGUAUUCUAGGGUCAGAAGCAGGAGGUGGGCAGCUUAGGGAGAUGCAGGAGCCACAAGGGCCAUGCUGGAGGUGGAGCCAAGGUCUGGGAAUCUCAGGGUGUUGGUGUUGAGAGGGGAUAAACAGAAGCUGUGCUGUACCCUGCCUGCUCACUUUAACUGCCAUCCACACCUGCCUCCUGGCAGGGAAGGGCCUCCCUGGCUCCCUGGGAAGGUGGGUUCGUGCAUCUCAGGGCUGUUCUCUGGUGCCUGGCCUGCCCAACACUCCCUGAGACAGCUGUCCGUGCUUCCAGUGCUGGAUGUCUUUCCUGGGAAGUUGUUCACAAGGUAAAUCCUAUUUUCCUGCUGACUUAAAAUGGAGGUUUUCAGGAAUAAUUGAUCUUUCUACCUUGGUUUUGAACCUACUGUGUGUGCCUGGUACGGCAGAUAUGACGAUGAGCAAAACAAAUGCAGCUUCUGCUCCACCCUUGCCCCAUGUUGUCUCCUAACAGCUCCAAGACAGUGAGGGAUUCCAGACUUUGGUUUACAGGGGAGCUAGCUGAUGCUUAGGUUGUUUGCCCAGGAUCACACAGAGCUGGGAUUCCCAUUUCAGGUCUGUCUGACCUCAGUUUGUAUACUUUUUUUCUUUUUUUUAAAAGUAUUAAUUUGAGAGAGAGGGGGAGGGGGAGGAGCAGAGAGAGAAGAAGCAGGCUCCCCACUGAACAGGGAGCCAGAUGCGGGGCUCAACCCUGGGACCCUGAGAUCAUGACCUGAGCCAAAGGCAGAUACUUAAUUGACUGAGCCACCCAGGUGCCCCUCAGGUCGUAUAAUCUUAACCAUGAAGCUAAACUGUGACUCAGUACAGUGACUUUCUGGUCAGGGCUCCUCAUGCUGUGUCUUGUCUGUUGGCUUCUGCACUCAGGACUCAGAGAUGUAUAAACCAAUAAUUAAAAGCCCAGUUAAGUUCACUUUCUAGCAAUGUCCUUGUGUAGAGGGUGAAAGCCCUUUGUAAGGGAAUUAGGUAAACCUGUAGUAUGUCUGUGCCCCGGGUGGUGGUGGUCUUAACACCUCUUAUUCUGCUGGGCGGGAGUUCUCCAUAGGUACCUGUUGGAGCAGAUCCUCAUCCUCAGUUAUAAAUUUUGGAAGGCAAGGUUUGGAUCUUACUCAUCCCUGGAUCCCCAUCCUCAACAUGAUGCUGGCAAUAAGGAUGUUAAAGGGGGUGGGCUCUUUGGAGUCAAUUGGACGUGGGGUUGAGUCAAGUCAUGCCACUUUUUGACGGCAUAACCUGAGCAAGUGAUGUCAUCUCUUUGAACCCUAGUCUCCCUAUUUGAGGGUUGUAGGAAUUAAAUUAGAGAUUUCACAGUGCCUGCUGCGUGAGGUCAGUUGUCAGCAACCUACAGCGCUUGGGCCCACUCUGGCUGCUGUUUCUCAGGUCGGGUUUUAUUCCAACACAGUAGUGUUGCACAGCAGCAGCCGAACUGAGUGACAGAGACAACAUGGCCUGCAGAGCUAAAAGUGUCCCCUGGCCCUUUAGAGGCAAAGUCUGCCCACUCAGGCUUAGGCCCCGCAGACGGUCGCUUCUGUUGUUAGAGUUGGCGUCAUUACCUAUGAUGUGAGCCCCUCUCCUUCUCAAACAAGUGCCUGUAGAAUAAUGACCUUCUUCUGUUCUUCGUGCUGUGGGAGCAACUCAGUUGUUUGGCAAACACCUUUGUGAUUCCCUUCGUUUUGGUCUUUAUGGCUUUCAAGAUUUGAGUCAAGUUUUGUUCCUAGCCUUCUUCUCCUGGCCUGAUGAGUCCUCAUCAUUUUUGGGCUGUCCCCAGACCAUCUGCACCUCUGCACAGUCCUUGCUUCUAAAUGGCUGGGGCCAGAGCGACACCUCGCAGAGAUGCCCACUGUGAAAGCAUCUGAGCAAGAGGAGAGGUUGUGUGUCGGGAUCCUGUGAGCUGUGGGAAACCCAGAGACAUGUAAGCUCCCAAUCUCUGGGCUCCGAAUCUACCCAAGUGUUGACUUUGCCACCCUGAGUCUCUCUGCCCUGAUUUUAGAGGAGAAAAAUCUCCUAAAACACAGAGGGUUUUUUUUUCCCCCUUCUUGGUAAUUUCCUUUUUAAAAAUGUAAUCUUAUUUUGGAUCAUAAAUGUAAUACAUGCAAUUUAUGGAAACAUGGGGCAUGAAAACUGCAACAAUCAAUCCUAAUCUUACCACCCAGAGAUAACCAUUAUUAGCAUUUUUAGCAUAUUUCCUUCCAGAUUCCUAAUCAUGUGUAAAUGUUUACAUAAUUGAAAUCACAUUGUUUAUGUAAUUUUACUUCUUGCAUUUUUACUUAUUAUAUCAUAACCAUUUCCUCCAGCAAUGAAUGUUUUUCAAAACCAUAAUUUUCAUCUCUGCAUGUAUACGUGCAUCCCCUUACCUAUCCACCCAUUUGUGCAGGCAUGCAUCCAUCCACCUGACACCUAUAUCCUUCAGUGCCUCUCACAUCCCAACCUGUGUGCUAGGUGCCAGGGGUGAACCCCAGGGAUGUGCUGGUGUCAGAGAAGAGCACCAAGGAUGUGCUAGGUACAGUGGUAAGCACCAAAAGAUCCUCUCCUUCCCUUUAUGGAGAUUGCGCUCUAACAGAGAGGAGAGAGAUAAUUAAUCAUCAUCACAUUGUCUUCAUCUAGACUGCAGCAACAAAACCCCAUCACCGGGGAGGGGGGGCUUAAAUAAUAGAUGUUUGUUUCUCACAGCUCUGGAGGCUGGAAGUCUGAGACCAGGAUGCAGCAUGGUAGGGUUCUGGUGAGGGUUCUCUUCCUGACUUACAUAUGGUCACCUUUCCUCUAUGUCCUCAAAUGGUGGAGUGAAGGAGGUCUCUUGUCUCUUCCUUUUCUUAGAAGGGUGCUCACCUAGGGGCCCCAGGGUGGCUGAGUCAGUUAACCGUUGGACUCUUGGUUCCGGCUCAGGUCAUGAUCUCAGAGUCUGGAGAUCCAGCCCUGCCUCAAGCUCCGUACUCUCCUUGUCCCUCUCCCACCUUCUUUGGUCCCCCUCAACUCGUGCUCACACUUUCUCUCUCUCUCUCUCUCUCUCUCUCUCUCUCUCUCUCAUAGAUGGAUAGAUAGAUAGAUAGAUAGAUAGAUAGAUAGAUAGAUUCUUUAAAAAAGGGCAGUAAUCUCAUCAUGGACACUCCACCCUCAUUGCUUCAUCUAAACCUGUUUACCUCCCAAAGGUCCUGUCUCCUAACACCAUCACGUUGGAGGUUAGGGCUUCAACAUAGGAAGUUUGAGGCCACACACCAUAGCAAAAAUCACAUGAUAGCCCUUUAAUGUGGGGUGAAGGGAUAGGUAGGAACACAGGUGGAAGGGUAUCAUUCCUGAAAUGGUGUCAAAAGCCUUUCCAGACCAAGCUAAUCCCAGUCUCUGUGGCCAUCGGUUUGGAGGAAGCUCAAGGAACCCUGACCUGCAAGUUCUCUUUGGAAUCGUUGACAGUCUUCUGAGAAAUGCUCACUCGAAUGGGAUGGGAGGAAAGGAAAUUAGUAGUUACAAUGAGUGACAUAACGGCAAAUAUUACUGUACUCUGUUAUUACCAAGAUUGUCUUAAAAAAAAAAAAAAA